CAUUCAAAUACUUAGUCCAUCCCAGAACCAUUCUGUCUGCAAUCAGCUGGUGUGCUUACCAUAAAGAGUUGUUAGAAAAAAAAAAUACUCUUGAGCACUUGCUGAAGGACUUCCGUAAAGAGCGUGUUCACCCAUAUUGGCUUCUAAACUUGGAAUUCAUUGACUUGGAGUAGUGCUUUCUCUAUCAACCACAGAAGGAUGCCAGUCACUACUACCACUACAACCAACAAAAAAUGCUCCCACGUGGACUAUUGACACCAGGUUUCUACUAUAGCCUCAGGCUGAUCGAUGUCUGGUGGGUGCAUUUUGUAGAUGGAAACUGUUAUUUCACAUGCUUUCAACAAAUGUGACAUCGAAAUCAUGUGUAAAUGGUUCCUUUCCCCAGAAAAGGAAAGAUUUGGCUGCUAUUUCUCACACACCCUGCUACCACAUAACAGGUAUUUCAAGUCCUUUAUCGCAAAUAGCUGUUACAUGGUAGCAGGUUGUACUGGAAAUAGCAGCUAAAUCUUUGGAGGUGAGAUAUGUUGAAUGCACUCGGAAAAAACCUAUGGAAAAGGUAUUUUUUCAUUGUCAAGUCACUGUGUCUAAUAGAAAGAUAAGACUUUCUUCCCUUUCAGGAUGAAGAUUAUUUUCAGAAUAUUUUC